GAUGAACGCUGGCGGCGUGCCUAAUACAUGCAAGUCGAGCGAACGGACGAGAAGCUUGCUUCUCUGAUGUUAGCGGCGGACGGGUGAGUAACACGUGGAUAACCGACCUAUAAGACUGGGAUAACUUCGGGAAACCGGAGCUAAUACCGGAUAAUAUUUUGAACCGCAUGGUUCAAAAGUGAAAGACGGUCUUGCUGUCACUUAUAGAUGGAUCCGCGCUGCAUUAGCUAGUUGGUAAGGUAACGGCUUACCAAGGCAACGAUGCAUAGCCGACCUGAGAGGGUGAUCGGCCACACUGGAACUGAGACACGGUCCAGACUGCUACGGGAGGCAGCAGUAGGGAAUCUUCCGCAAUGGGCGAAAGCCUGACGGAGCAACGCCGCGUGAGUGAUGAAGGUCUUCGGAUCGUAAAACUCUGUUAUUAGGGAAGAACAUAUGUGUAAGUAACUGUGCACAUCUUGACGGUACCUAAUCAGAAAGCCACGGCUAACUACGUG
rnacentral:rRNA from 1 species